GAUGAACGCUGGCGGCGUGCCUAAUACAUGCAAGUCGAGCGAACAGACGAGGAGCUUGCUCCUCUGACGUUAGCGGCGGACGGGUGAGUAACACGUGGAUAACCUACCUAUAAGACUGGGAUAACUUCGGGAAACCGGAGCUAAUACCUGAUAAUAUAUUUAACCGCAUGGUUCAAUAGUGAAAGACGGUUUUGCUGUCACUUAUAGAUGGAUCCGCGCCGCAUUAGCUAGUUGGUAAGGUAACGGCUUACCAAGGCGACGAUGCAUAGCCGACCUGAGAGGGUGAUCGGACGCAGUUGAAGGUGGACACGGUCCAGACUCCUACGGUAGGCAGCAGUAGGGAAUCUUCCGCAAUGGUCGCAAGCCAGACGGUACAACGGCGCGUAAGUGAUGAAGGUCUUCGGGGCGUAAAACUCUGUUAUUGGGAAAGAACAAAUGUGUAAGUAACUAUGCACGUCUUGACGGUACCUAAUCAGAAAGCCACGGCUAACUACGUG
rnacentral:rRNA from 1 species